UACGUAGGGUGCGAGCGUUUGUCCGGAAUUAUUGGGCGUAAAGGGCUCGUAGGCGGUUUGUCGCGUCGGGAGUGAAAAACUCGGGGCUUAACCCUGAGCCUGCUUCCGAUACGGGCAGACUAGAGGUAUGCAGGGGGAGAACGGAAUUCCUGGUGUAGCGGUGAAAUGCGCAGAUAUCAGGAGGAACACCGGUGGCGAAGGCGGUUCUCUGGGCAUUACCUGACGCUGAGGAGCGAAAGUGUGGGGGAGCGAACAGG
rnacentral:rRNA from 1 species